rnacentral:tRNA from 1 species
UCCGGGGUAGCUCAACUGGCAGAGCAUUCGGCUGUUAACCGAAGGGUUGCGGGUUCGAAUCCCGCCCCCGGAG